UAAAGAUGGAACCUGACCAAAGACAGGGCA
rnacentral:piRNA from 1 species